GACGAACGCUGGCGGCGUGCUUAACACAUGCAAGUCGAACGGAAAGGCCUGCUUUCCCUUGUGGAUUGCGGGUGCUCGAGUGGCGAACGGGUGAGUAACACGUGAGUGAUCUGCCCCCAACUUGGGUAUAAGCCUGGGAAACUGGGUCUAAUUCCCGAUAGGACUGCAGGGUGGUGCCUGUGGUGGAAAACGAUUUUCUAGUGGUUGGGGAUGAGCUCGCGGCCUAUCAGCUUGUUGGUGGGUAAUGGCCUACCAAGGCGGCGACGGGUAGCCGGCCUGAGAGGGUGGACGGCCACAUUGGGACUGAGAUACGGCCCAGACUCCUACGGGAGGCAGCAGUGGGGAAUAUUGCACAAUGGGCGGAAGCCUGAUGCAGCGACGCCGCGUGGGGGAUGACGGCCUUCGGGUUGUAAACUCCUUUCGACCGCGAGGAAGCCACCUGGUUGGAAGGGUGGUGACGGUAGUGGUAGAAGAAGCACCGGCUAACUACGUG
rnacentral:rRNA from 1 species